GUUUUCAGUUCGUUGUGCAGUUGGCAUCAAAACAGAAGUCACUGAUGAUAACUCCUGAAAGAGCAGACGGUCAUUUCACACUGACCUCUGGGCUGGAAAUAAUCACCUUGUGAGGAGCAAAUGCCAUGCACAGUCUCAGGGAUGAGGCCCUUAUUAAACUCCAGUCAAGCAGCAAAGCACCUUGUGGUGUGAGACCAGAACAAAUAGGACCUCUUGCAGAUUCUGCCUCCAUAUGCAGUUGACAGGAGCGCCCGGAGUAGAAGGCACUGUCCCUUCACACAGGAGGAGAAG